GAUGAAGAACGUAGUGAAAUGCGAUAAUUAAUGUGAAUUGCAGAAUUCAGUGAAUCAUCGAGUCUUUGAACGCACAUUGCGCCCCCUGGUAUUCCGGGGGGCAUGCCUGUCCGAGCGUCAUUGCUGCCCAUCAAGCACGGCUUGUGUGUUGGGUCCUCGUCCCCCCCGGGGGACGUGCCCGAAAGGCAGCGGCGGCACCGCGUCCGGUCCUCGAGCGUAUGGGGCUUUGUCACCCGCUCUGCAGGCCCGGCCGGCGCUGGCCGACGCGAAAGCAACCAUUUUUUCUCCAGGUUGACCUCGGAUCAGGUAGGGAUACCCGCUGAACUUAAGCAUAUCAAUAAGCGGAGGA
rnacentral:misc_RNA from 1 species